ACUCUACUACACUCCACUCUACUGAAUUCUACUCUACUACAUUCUACUCUACUACACUCCACUACAUUCUACUCUACUCUACUCCACUCUACUACAUUCUACUCUACUACACUCCACUACAUUCUACUCUACUACACUCUACUAAAUUCUACUCUACUCCACUCCACUCUACUACAUUCUACUCCACUACAUUCUACUCUACUACACUCCACUCUACUGAAUUCUACUCUACUACAUUCUACUCUACUACACUCCACUCUACUGAAUUCUACUCUACUACAUUCUACUAUACUCCACUCCACUCUACUAAAUUCCACUCCACUACAUUCUACUCUACUACACUCCACUCUACUACAUUCUACUACACUCCACUCCACUACAUUCUACUCUACUCUACUCCACUCUACUACAUUCUACUCUACUACACUCUACUCCACUCUACUAAAUUCUACUCUACUCCANNNNNNNNNNUGCCAUAGUUUUACUGUAACGUGCCAUUGUUUUACAGUAACGUGCCAUCGUUUUACAGUAACGUGCCAUAGUUUUACAGUAACGUACCACAGUUUUACAGUAACUUGCCAUUUUUCCUCGCAUACUUUUUUCUUUCUCUCAUGGCAAAAAAAAGAAUACAUGUAUUUGUUGAUUCACCUUUUUUGUUGAUUUUGUAUGUACUAGACAAAGAAGUGCUUUUGAUUGAAAUGAAUGCCACAUGCUAUGAGAACAGUGUUGUUCCCUAAAACAGUUUGGUUUGUUUAUCUUUGGUCAGUACAGGUGCAUCAAAGCAGGGGACCGAGAGACUGAAAAACAGCUUCUAUCUCAAGGCCAUCAGACUGUUAAACAGCCACCACUAACACUGAGUGGCUGCUGCCAACUCACUGACUCAACUCCAGCCACUUUAAUAAUGGGAAUUGAUGGGAAAUGUAAAAUAUAUCACUAUCCACUUUAAACAAUGCUUCCUAAUAUAAUGUUUACAUACCCUACAUUAUUCAUCUCAUAUGUAUAUACUGUACUCGAUUCCAUCUACUGUAUCUUGCCUAUGCCGCUCUGUACCAUCACUCAUUCAUAUAUCUUUAUGUAAUACAUGUAUCACUAACCACUUUAAACAAUGACACUUAAUAUAAUGUUUACAUACCCUACAUUACCCAUCUUAUAUGUAUAUACUGUACUCUAUACCAUCUACUGUAUCUUGCCUAUGCCGCUCUGUACCAUCACUCAUUCAUAUAUCUUUAUGUACAUAUUCUUUAUCCCUUUACACUUGUGUGUGUAAGGUAGUAGUUGUGGAAUUGUUAGGUUAGAUUACUCGUUGGUUAUUCCUGCACGGUCGGGAACUAGAAGCACAAGCAUUUCGCUACACUCGCAUUAACAUCUGCUAACCAUGUGUAUGUGACAAAUAAAAUGUGGUUUGUUGAUGUAUUUUACUGACUACUGUACACAGCUAGCUUCACCAACUGCUAACCAUGUGUAUUAUUAUCACUGCCUAAUAAACGGUAUGAACUGUGUUCCGAUGACCUCCGAUGACCUCUUGUUCAGAACGAAGAGGAGAUGAAGUUGAAUUCAUCAGUGUUUAGAGAAAGGAAAAAGAGAUCCAAGUCAAUCUGUGGAUUAAAUAGUAGCUAGACUAUUUUGGGCUCCCGAGGCACUGCAUCUCAGUGCAAGAGGCGUCACUACAGUCCUACUACAGAGGCGUCACUACAGUCCUACUACAGAGGCGUCACUACAGUCCUUGGUUUGAAUCCAGCCUGCAUCCCAUCCGGCCGUGAUUGGGAGUCCCGUAGGGCGGUGCACAGUUGGCCCAGUGUCGUCGGGGUUUGGCCGUCAUUGUAAAUAAGAAUUUGUCAUUAACUGACUUGCCUAGCUAAAUAAAGUUUACACACAUACAAAAUCUGCUCUUUCGUUGGCUUAAAUGGUCCCACCCAGAGCAAUAUCUGGAACGGCUGCCAUGUUAGCACCUUUAUUAUCGACAUUUUGGCGAUGUAUAUCCGAGAAUUCCCUAUGAAAUGAAGACUUAAAAACUUGCGAAUUUAACAGAUGUUUUUAUUCGGGAUAAUGUGUAUCCAAGUCCAAGGUGUUUCGGGGGUCAACAAAUUGCAUUUAUACUUUCAUCUGAACAUCUUCAUCGUUUUUUUUUUUUUUAAACAAUCCGAAAUAAACAGCACAAGACUUGAAGUGUCAAUUUAUGACUUAGCAACGGCUAUGUGAGAAUGUGUCGAUCUUGACAAUAUUCAGACAAGAAAAUAAAAAUGUUCGGGCAAAGUAUUUCCAUUGUUCGAGUGGUCACUUGACUAUCUUGUCAAUAUAAUAUAUACUCUUUAUCAACAGAGCUGUUUUACGACAGUCGCGUACCGUAUUCAAAGCGUCCGGUGUC
rnacentral:lncRNA from 13 species